rnacentral:rRNA from 1 species
UACGGAGGGUGCGAGCGUUGUCCGGAAUCAUUGGGCGUAAAGGGCGCGUAGGUGGCCCGGUCAGUUCGUGGUGAAAGCGCGGGGCUCAACCCUGCGUCGGCCAUGAAUACUGCCGCGGCUGGAGCACUGUAGAGGCAGGCGGAAUUCCGGGUGUAGCGGUGGAAUGCGUAGAGAUCCGGAAGAACACCGGUGGCGAAGGCGGCCUGCUGGGCAGUUGCUGACACUGAGGCGCGAAAGCCAGGGGAGCGAACGGG